rnacentral:tRNA from 1 species
GGGCUUAGGUUAAAUUAAACCAGGGGCCUUCAAAACCCCAAACAAGAGUCAACCAAAUCUCCUAGCCCCU